AACAAACGCUGGCGGCGUGUCUUAAGCAUGCAAGUUGAGCGGCAAGGGGGGAGCGAUCCCCCCUAGAGCGGCGGACUGGUGAGUAACACGUGGAUGAUCUACCCGAGGCAUGGGGAUAGUCACUAGAAAUAGUGGGUAAUACCGAAUACGGUGCGCAUCGUGAGGGUGCGCAAGAAAGGUGCUACGGCACCGGCCUAGGAUGAGUCUGCGUCCCAUUAGCUGGUUGGUGAGGUAAGAGCCCACCAAGGCGAUGAUGGGUAGCCGGCCUGAGAGGGUGUACGGCCACACUGGGACUGAGACACGGCCCAAAACUCCUACGGGAGGCAGCAGUGGGGAAUCUUCCGCAAUGGACGAAAGUCUGACGGAGCAACGCCGCGUGAGUGAAGAAGGUUUCGAAUCG
rnacentral:rRNA from 1 species